CACAACCUUGCUGUUUUGGGAUGGUGCAUAAAAGUAUAAAAACUUCCUGGAUGCUCAUGUGUGUUGCUGAUGUCUCUUACACUUCUCUAGAUGCUGAACGGGUGGACAGCACAACGCUUUUGGGAACUUCAUGUGUGGACUGUGCUAAAAGGAAGUUAGGAGAAAGUGGCACUGAUUCUCCUAAGAGGAUAAAGCAGUCAGAUAAUGAUAUACCCACUCUUGAAUGAAAACCCCAAACACCCAAGGCCCACCUCAGAAGCUUUUUAACAGUAGGUGUUUUACAUCUGCUGCAUGGAGAGUUUUGAGCUGGUAUUUCCAUGAUUUUAAGUGGAAUAAAAUUGCACAUACUAGCUUUCUCUUUUCUAAA